rnacentral:ncRNA from 2 species
GUCGCCGACGGAAUACUUGGCUUGGGGGCAAUGAAAAAGGGAAGCAGGUGUGAAUCCUGCGCAGUGCCGCUGCUGUAAAUUCCAUUAUCGCCGUCGUCAUAUUUUUAUUGAAACGCCACUGGCUUGAGCCGUCACGUUCAAGCCGGGAAGGUAACGACGGUGGGAACAAGCCAGAAUACCUGCCGUUUUUCAAUGGCUGAA